GUUUCUACACGGCUACUAGCCAUGCUGUCGUACGGCAGCACGGGUGACUUGCACCUGGUGGCGAGUGGCGAAGGGAAGUGUACAUCGGAACAUGUCCUGUAGUGGGGGAAGCCCGGCGAAAGCCGGAUAAUACCGCAUACGAUCUACGGAUGAAAGCGGGGGACCUUCGGGCCUCGCGCUAUAGGGUUGGCCGAUGGCUGAUUAGCUAGUUGGUGGGGUAAAGGCCUACCAAGGCGACGAUCAGUAGCUGGUCUAGAGGACGACCAGCCACACUGGGACUGAGACACGGCCCAGACUCCUACGGGAGGCAGCAGUGGGGAAUUUUGGACAAUGGGCGAAAGCCUGAUCCAGCAAUGCCGCGUGUGUGAAGAAGGCCUUCGGUUGUAAAGCACUUUUGUCCGGAAAGAAAUCCUUGGCUCUAAUACAGUCGGGGGAUGACGGUACCGGAAGAAUAAGCACCGGCUAACUACGUGCCAGCAGCCGCGGUAAUACGUAAGGUGCGAGCGUUAUCGGAAUUACUGGGCGUAAAGCGUGCGCAGGCGGUUUGCUAAGACCGAUGUGAAAUCCCCGGGCUCAACCUGGGAACUGCAUUGGUGACUGGCAUGCUAGAGUAUGGCAGAUGGGGGUAGAAAUUCACGUGUAGCACUGAAUGCCUUCGAGAUGUGGAGGAAUACCCCAUGGCGACGCAGCCCCCUUGGUCCCACUACUUACGCUCAUACACGAAUGCGUGUUGACCCAAGCGGAUUCACAUACCCCUUGCUGUCCCCCGCCCCCUAUACUCGAUAGCCAUUUAGUGGGUGACCGA
rnacentral:rRNA from 1 species